CACAGAGGUCCCAAGCGUUGUUCGGAUUCACUGGGCGUAAAGGGUGCGUAGGCGGUCGGGUAAGUCUGACGUGAAAUCUUCAAGCUCAACUUGGAAACUGCGUCCGAUACUAUUCGGCUAGAGGAAUGGAGGGGAGACUGGAAUACUUGGUGUAGCAGUGAAAUGCGUAGAUAUCAAGUGGAACACCAGUGGCGAAGGCGAGUCUCUGGACAUUUCCUGACGCUGAGGCACGAAAGCCAGGGGAGCAAACGGG
rnacentral:rRNA from 1 species